AUAUCAAUAAGCGGAGGAAAAGAAACCAACAGGGAUUGCCCUAGUAACGGCGAGUGAAGCGGCAACAGCUCAAAUUUGAAAUCUGGCCCUCGGGUCCGAGUUGUAAUUUGUAGAGGAUGCUUUUGGUGCAGUGCCUUCCGAGUUCCUUGGAACAGGACGCCUUAGAGGGUGAGAGCCCCGUACGGUUGGACACUAAGCCUCUGUAAAGCUCCUUCGACGAGUCGAGUAGUUUGGGAAUGCUGCUCUAAAUGGGAGGUAAAUUUCUUCUAAAGCUAAAUACCGGCCAGAGACCGAUAGCGCACAAGUAGAGUGAUCGAAAGAUGAAAAGUACUUUGAAAAGAGGGUUAAAUAGCACGUGAAAUUGUUGAAAGGGAAGCGUUUAUGACCAGACCUUUGCCGGGCGGAUCAUCCGGUGUUCUUCACCGGUGCACUUCGCCCGGCUUAGGCCAGCAUCGAUUUCUGUAGGGGGACAAAGGCCAUGGGAACGUAGCUCUCUUCGGGGAGUGUUAUAGCCCUAGGUGUAAUACCUUUACGGGGAUCGAGGUUCGCGCUUCUGCAAGGAUGCUGGCGUAAUGGUCAUCAACGA
rnacentral:rRNA from 1 species